rnacentral:rRNA from 1 species
GACGAACGCUGGCGGCGUGCCUAAUACAUGCAAGUUGAGCGCUGAAGGUUGGUCCUUGUACCAACUGGAUGAGCAGCGAACGGGUGAGUAACGCGUGGGGAAUCUGCCUUUGAGCGGGGGACAACAUUUGGAAACGAAUGCUAAUACCGCAUAAAAACUUUAAACACAAGUUUUAAGUUUGAAAGAUGCAAUUGCAUCACUCAAAGAUGAUCCCGCGUUGUAUUAGCUAGUUGGUGAGGUAAAGGCUCACCAAGGCGAUGAUACAUAGCCGACCUGAGAGGGUGAUAGGCCACAUUGGGACUGAGACACGGCCCAAACUCCUACGGGAGGCAGCAGUAGGGAAUCUUCGGCAAUGGACGAAAGUCUGACCGAGCAACGCCGCGUGAGUGAAGAAGGUUUUCGGAUCGUAAAACUCUGUUGGUAGAGAAGAACGUUGGUGAGAGUGGAAAGCUCAUCAAGUGACGGUAACUAUCCAGAAAGGGACGGCUAACUACGUG